GAUCCUGGCUCAGAUUGAACGCUGGCGGCAUGCUUUACACAUGCAAGUCGAACGGCAGCAUGAGGAGCUUGCUCCUUGAUGGCGAGUGGCGCACGGGUGAGUAAGACAUCGGAACGUGUCCUUUUGUGGGGGAUAACUGUCCGAAAGGAACAGCUAAUACCGCAUAAGACCUGAGGGUGGAAAGACGGGGGAGUCGCAAGACCUCGCGCGAAGGAGCGGCCGGAUGGCCGAUUAG
rnacentral:rRNA from 1 species